rnacentral:snRNA from 1 species
UUACUUACCUGGCAGGGGAGAUACCAUGAUCACAAAGGUGGUUUUCCCAGGGUGAGGUUUAUCAUUGCACUCCAGAUGUGUGGAUCCUUGCGAUUUCCCCAAACGUGAGAAACUGGACUGCAUAAUUUGUGGUAGUGGGGGACUGCUUGCGCACUCCCCCC